rnacentral:rRNA from 1 species
GACGAACGCUGGCGGCGUGCCUAAUACAUGCAAGUAGGACGCAGUUGCGAACGGGUGAGUAACGCGUAGGUAACUACCUAUUAGAGGGGGAUAACUAUUGGAAACGAUAGCUCAUACCACAUACUAGUAGAUGGACCUUCGUUGUAUUAGCUAGUAGGUAGGGUAAUGGCCUACCUAGGCAACGAUACAUAGCCGCACUGGGAAGGGGAUCGGCCCCACUGGGAGUGGGACAAGGGCCAGAAUCCUACGGGAGGCAGAAGUAGGGAAGCUUCGGCAAUGGGGGGAACCCGGACCGAGCAAAGCCGCGUGAGUGAAGAAGGGUUUCGGAUCUGAAAGCUCUGUUGUUAAGGAAGCGGUACUUAACCAGAAAGGGACGGCUAACUACGUGCCAGCAGCCGCGGUAAUUC